rnacentral:lncRNA from 1 species
UGCACCAGGAUGGGUGACAGGACACCCAGUCUUGGGCCUGCCACAGCCGAGGCCCAGGGCAGCUCAGAGAAGGCAGAUUGACUCAGGAGCUUUACCUGCCUCAAGGUAGAGGGUCAGAAGGCUGCGGUUGGGUUGGCCCACACCUCACCUGGCGAGGGCCAGGGGGAGAUACCAGCUGGAGGCCCGAGCAGCGUGGGCCAUUUCCUGGGCCAAAAGUAUCCCCAGCAAGGAGCAGGGUCCCACCAGCGCAGCAUUCAUGCAAGACUUGGCUCGUCUUCGCCCCUGGUUCCUGGACAGGUAACCUCUACAUGCUGGUAAUUUCAUGGUGUGUCUGGACCAUACCUGAUAG